GAUGAACGCUGGCGGCGUGCCUAAUACAUGCAAGUCGAGCGAACAGACGAGGAGCUUGCUCCUCUGACGUUAGCGGCGGACGGGUGAGUAACACGUGGAUAACCUACCUAUAAGACUGGGAUAACUUCGGGAAACCGGAGCUAAUACCGGAUAAUAUAUUGAACCGCAUGGUUCAAUAGUGAAAGACGGUUUUGCUGUCACUUAUAGAUGGAUCCGCGCCGCAUUAGCUAGUUGGUAAGGUAACGGCUUACCAAGGCAACGAUGCGUAGCCGACCUGAGAGGGUGAUCGGCCACACUGGAACUGAGACACGGUCCAGACUCCUACGGGAGGCAGCAGUAGGGAAUCUUCCGCAAUGGGCGAAAGCCUGACGCAGCAACGCCGCGUGAGUGAUGAAGGUCUUCGGAUCGUAAAACUCUGUUAUUAGGGAAGAAAAAAUGUGUAAGUAACUAUGCACGUCUUGACGGUACCUAAUCAGAAAGCCACGGCUAACUACGUG
rnacentral:rRNA from 1 species